AUACAUGGGGAAUGGUCGGGAUAGCUCAGCUGGUAAAGCAAAGGACUGAAAAUCCUCG
rnacentral:tRNA from 1 species